rnacentral:lncRNA from 1 species
UCCAAUACACUUCUAGCCUAUAGUAGCUCACUCCCUUCCGCGUUCCGCUCAUUUCGACGGAACUCGGCACGACUUACGGGAAAGUGAUAUGUUAUAUUCCCCACCCCUUAAAAUUGUUUCGGCCGCGAAACUAAUUCAUUCGUAAUUCAAAAUCCAUACCUCAUCUUAGUUCCUCGAAAAGAUGAGGAUGACGCUCCUUCAUCACGUCCUCAAGCUCCCACGUCUCUUCCCGAUCGCCGUGUUCGCUCCAAUGGAUCUUAACAUACGGAAUUUCUCGAUCCCGUAGCUUUCGCACCUCCCGAUCAACAAUGUACGCCGGGAACUCCUCGUAAGUCAUAUCCUCUUAAAGCUCUAUCGGGAUAUACGAGAGAAUAUGCUCUGGAUCGUGAACGUACUUGCGGAGAUUGGAUACAUGAAACACAUCGUGCACCCCCGCAAGCCUCGGCGGUAAUGCUACCCUGUAGGCCACCGCGCCAAUCCUUUCCAAGAUCUCAGAGGGUCCAACAAAUCGGGGACUUAGCUUUCCCCGGACACCAAACCUCUUAACACCGCGCAUCGGCGAUACCUUUAAAAACACGCGGUCUCCAACCGCGAACUCAAUGUCCUUCCUUUGCUUGUCGGCAUAACUCUUGUGCCUCGACUGCGCCGUCGCUAAUCUUUGCCGGGCAAGACGAACUUUCUCCUCCGCCUCUCGAACAACUUCUGGGCCAAGAACAACUUUCUCGCCCACAUCGCUCCAAUGAAUUGGCGAGCGACACUUCUUUCCAUAAAGGGCUUCGAAUGGCGCCAUUGCAAUACUUUCUUGAUAGCUAUUGUUGUAUGCAAACUCCGCCAUCGAUAAGUAAUCGUGCCACCCUCCACGAUAGUCAAGCACACAUGCUCGCAACAUGUCCUCGAGUAUCUGGAUUGUUCUCUCAGAUUGUCCAUCACUCUGAGGAUGAAACGCCGUACUAAAAUCGAGCCGCGUGCCUAGAGCAUCCUGCAAGCUCCUCCAGAAAUGAGAAGUGAACCAGGGAUCUCGAUCUGAUACAAUCGACACAGGAACCCCAUGUAGUCUCACUAUCUCGUCCAAGUACGUCUGGGCCAACUUGUCUCCUGACCACGUGGUGUGGAUCGGCAAAAAGUGAGCCGAUUUCGUCAAACGGUCCACAACCACCCAUAUGGCGUCAUGUCCAGCUUGUGAUCGGGGUAGCCCGACCACAAAGUCCAUCGUGACAUCCUCCCACUUCCACACGGGGAUCGGUAGGCUCUGCAACUUUCCCGCGGGAAAACGACGCUCGGCUUUUACUUGUUGGCACAUNAGAGAGAGAGAGAGAGAAGAGAAGGAUUUUAGAGAGAGAGAGGGAAAGGUGUUGGUGUAGGAGUGAGAGCAAAUGAGCUCUCACUCAUGCCCUAGCCCAUAUAACCCCUCUCAUGACAUAUUUGCAUUUAAACCCCUCAACUUUUCAUCUUUGCAAACAGCCCUUACUAGGCAAUUUCAGGCUCGGGGACCGGUCUCUCCCUUCAGGGACCGGUUCCCGAGAGCUAUCCUGCACUCUGCACAACAGGGGACCGGUCUCCCCUGACGCAACCGGUCUCCCGGGACCGAUCUCCCGCCGAAGGACCGGUUCCCGAGAGCUCAGUUUCCAGGACUUAGCCGAUUUUUUCCUCUGCUCGGCUAAUCAACGUUCGGGAACCGGUCUCUCACCCAAGGGACCGGUCCCCGAGAGUAAAAAUUCUGAAAAUUCUCCAGGAUUGCAGUUUCACUCUCUCGGGUCCCUCAAUGCUCUACAUAUAGGCUCCAAUACACUUCUAGCCUAUAGUAGCUCACUCCCUUCCGCGUUCCGCUCAUUUCGACGGAACUCGGCACGACUUACGGGAAAGUGAUAUGUUAUAUUCCCCACCCCUUAAAAUUGUUUCGGCCGCGAAACUAAUUCAUUCGUAAUUCAAAAUCCAUACCUCAUCUUAGUUCCUCGAAAAGAUGAGGAUGACGCUCCUUCAU